GACGAACGCUGGCGGCGUGCUUAACACAUGCAAGUCGAACGGAAAGGCCCUGCUUUUGUGGGGUGCUCGAGUGGCGAACGGGUGAGUAACACGUGAGUAACCUGCCCUUGACUUUGGGAUAACUUCAGGAAACUGGGGCUAAUACCGGAUAGGAGCUCCUGCUGCAUGGUGGGGGUUGGAAAGUUUCGGCGGUUGGGGAUGGACUCGCGGCUUAUGAGCUUGUUGGUGGGGUAGUGGCUUACCAAGGCUUUGACGGGUAGCCGGCCUGAGAGGGUGACCGGCCACAAUGGGACUGAGAGACGGCCCAGACUCCUACGGGAGGCAGCAGUGGGGAAUAUUGCACAAUGGGCGGAAGCCUGAUGCAGCAACGCCGCGUGCGGGAUGACGGCCUUCGGGUUGUGAACCGCUUUCGCCUGUGACGAAGCGUGAGUGACGGUAAUGGGUAAAGAAGCACCGGCUAACUACGUG
rnacentral:rRNA from 1 species